rnacentral:rRNA from 1 species
UACGUAGGGUGCAAGCGUUGUCCGGAAUUAUUGGGCGUAAAGAGCUCGUAGGCGGUUUGUCGCGUCUGCUGUGAAAACCCGAGGCUCAACCUCGGGCCUGCAGUGGGUACGGGCAGACUAGAGUGCGGUAGGGGAGAUUGGAAUACCCGGUGUAGCGGUGAAAUGCGCAGAUAUCAGGAGGAACACCGAUGGCGAAGGCAGGUCUCUGGGCCACUACUGACGCUGAGAAGCGAAAGCAUGGGGAGCGAACAGG